UCCCUGAUGGUCCAGUGGUUAAGACUCCACACUCACAAUGCAGGGGGGCUGGGUUCGAUCCCUGGUCAGGGAA
rnacentral:tRNA from 1 species